rnacentral:rRNA from 1 species
GACAGAGGGGGCAAGCGUUGCUCGGAAUUACUGGGCGUAAAGGGCGCGUAGGCGGGAUGGCAAGUCAGUCGUGAAAUCUCUCGGCUCAACCGAGAAGCGUCGGCUGAUACUGCCGUUCUUGAGGGAUGCAGAGGAGACUGGAAUUCCCGGUGUAGCGGUGAAAUGUGUAGAGAUCGGGAGGAACACCGGUGGCGAAGGCGGGUCUCUGGGCAUCUCCUGACGCUGAGGCGCGAAAGCGUGGGGAGCAAGCGGG